rnacentral:ribozyme from 1 species
UGCCUAGCAACGCCUAUGCCUACCUCCUCGCGGUACUGGCCGGGGUACGAAAAACCUUAGGAAAGAUCGAGUAAGGG